CCCUUAGAGUUUGAUCCUGGCUCAGGACAAACGCUGGCGGCGUGUAUUAGGCAUGCAAGUCGCACGGACCUUCGGGUCAGUGGCGGACGGGUGAGUAACACGUGGGUAACCUGCCUCGCAGUGGGGAAUAACUCGUCGAAAGACGAGCUAAUACCGCAUACCACUCCCGGUGAGACUCCGGGUAGUAAAAGCAGCAAUGCGCUGUGAGAGGGGCCCGCGGCCGAUUAGCUUGUUGGUAGGGUAACGGCCUACCAAGGCGACGAUCGGUAGCUGGUCUGAGAGGAUGGUCAGCCACACGGGGACUGAGAUACGGCCCCGACUCCUACGGGAGGCAGCAGCUAAGAAUCUUGCGCAAUGGGCGAAAGCCUGACGCAGCAACGCCGCGUGGAGGACGAAGGCCCUCGGGUCGUAAACUCCUUUUGCGAGGGAAGAAGAUCUGACGGUACCUCGCGAAUAAGCCACGGCUAACUACGUGCCAGCAGCCGCGGUAAUACGUAGGUGGCGAGCGUUGUCCGGAUUUACUGGGCGUAAAGAGCCCGCAGGCGGUUCAGCAAGUUUCAGGUGAAAUCUCCUGGCUCAACUGGGAGGGUGCCUGGAAAACUGUUGGACUUGAGGCAGGGAGAGGGAUGUGGAAUUCCCGGUGUAGUGGUGAAAUGCGUAGAUAUCGGGAGGAACACCAGUGGCGAAGGCGGCAUCCUGGCCCUGUCCUGACGCUCAGGGCGAAAGCGUGGGGAGCAAACCGGAUAGAUACCCGGGUAGUCACGCGUA
rnacentral:rRNA from 1 species